rnacentral:tRNA from 1 species
GCAGUGGUGGUUCAGUGGUAGAAUUCUUGCCUUCCAUGCAAGAGACCCAGGUUUGAUUACCAGACGGUGCA